AUUCAUAGCUGUGGCAGUAUCGUAGCCAAUGAGGUUUAUCCAAGGCGCGAUUAUUGCUAAUUGAUUCAUAGCUGUCAAAGCAUUUGAAUGGCAAACUGCAUCAUUCAGUGAAAUAAUAUUUUGUAAUAGUCACUACUA